rnacentral:rRNA from 1 species
GACGAACGCUGGCGGCGUGCUUAACACAUGCAAGUCGAACGGAAAGGCCCUGCUUUUGUGUGGUGCUCGCGUGGCGAACGGGUGUGUAACACGUGAGUAACCUGCCCUUGACUUUGGGAUAACUUCAGGAAACUGGGGCUAAUACCGGAUAGGAGCUCCUGCUGCAUGGUGGGGGUUGGAAAGUUUAGGCGGUGGGGGAUGGACUCGCGGCUUAUCAGCUUGUUGGUGGGGUAGUGGCUUACCAAGGGUUUGACGGGUAGCCGGCCUGAGAGGUUGACCGGCCACAAUGGGACUGAGAUACGGCCCAGACUGCUACGGGAGGCAGCAGUGGGGAAUAUGGCACAAUGGGGGGAAGCCUGAUGCAGCAACGCCGCGUGCGGGAUGACGGCCUUCGGGUUGUAAACCGCUUUCGCCUGUGACGAAGCGUGAGUGACGGUAAUGGGUAAAGAAGCACCGGCUAACUACGUG